GUGGGGAAUUUUGGACAAUGGGCGCAAGCCUGAUCCAGCCAUGCCGCGUGCAGGAAGACGCAUCUAUGGUGUGUAAACUGCUUUUGUACGGGAAGAAACACUCCCUCGUGAGGGAGCUUGACGGUACCGUAAGAAUAAGGAUCGGCCAACUCCGUGCCAGCAGCCGCGGUAAUACGGAGGAUCCAAGCGUUAUCCGGAAUCAUUGGGUUUAAAGGGUCCGUAGGCGGUUUAAUAAGUCAGUGGUGAAAGCCCAUCGCUCAACGAUGGAACGGCCAUUGAUACUGUUAGACUUGAAUUACAAGGAAGUAACUAGAAUAUGUAGUGUAGCGGUGAAAUGCUUAGAUAUUACAUGGAAUACCAAUUGCGAAGGCAGGUUACUACUUGUGGAUUGACGCUGAUGGACGAAAGCGUGGGGAGCGAACAGGAUUAGAAACCCCAGUAGUCC
rnacentral:rRNA from 1 species